GGGUAUAGCUCAGUGGUAGAGCUCGUGCUUAGCAUGCAUGAGGUCUGAGGUUCAACCCUCAGUACCUCCA
rnacentral:tRNA from 1 species